AUUUUUAAAAAACCGAACUUAUCUAUAGAUCUCUUAUAUCUAGAAUAAUCUAGAUCUACAACACCCAGACUUAGACUAUGGUUCUAGAUCUAUUUAAAGAUAUUUUUUUAAAAAUAACUCAAUAGAUCUAAUAAAGUCAUGAUUUCCACUCUAUUUUCUCUAGAUCUAGACCAUACAUGAGAUCAAUAUGAAUGUUUAUAGAUAGAUCUAGUCUACGUCUAGAACUCUAGAUAGUAGAUCUAUCGAUCAUCUAUGUCUAUACUAUAGUGUCUAUAGACUGUAUUAUAAUUAUACUUAUACUGUAACUGUAUUCGUGUAUAGUGACGGUAAUUAUAGUCACUAUAAUCAAUAGUGUAUUGCCUGUAGAUCUAGUACCUGUACUAAUAUUAGUAGAUGUAGAUCUAUAAUAAUAAUACUUUUUAAUAGUAGAAAGUAGAUUUAUAAUCUAUCAAUUCUAUCUAAUCUAGACUAGAUCUAAAUCUAGACUUCACUUUCACAUCACAUGAUUAUUGAUACAGACACUGAAUGAAACGAAUGCAGUGAUUAUAUUAUAGUUUAUACUGAUUAUACUUAUAGCUCUACCAGUUGAUUAUCAUCAUCAUCAUAGAUAAUAAUCUAGACUAGUAUUCUAGAUCUAUAAAUAAUUAUAGUCACCGUGAUAGUGCCCUUUUUAGUCAAUGUAGUCAAGUCAAGAUAGUGGAACGUAAACUCGAAGGUUUAAUACAAUACAGUAUAAGUAGAGUCUAUGAGUUAGUAUAAGAUCUAAUUAUUUUGUUUCUUUGUAUGUCAAUGUCUCUAUUAAAAUAAUUAAUAUCAUCAGCCAUAUCAUUUUAAAUAUUAAAAUAGUAGACAUAGAUUUCUGUAGCUGAUUUGAGAGGCCCAACGAGGCAAGAGUCUAUUACUAUUAGUACUCUGUCUCUUGAUCUAUCUAGUAGGCCUACUUAGCUAGUGCAUUAGCCUUAGCCAUAGUGUAGUCAAAUCUUGACAACUAGUCUUCUAGAUCUAAGCUUCUAGAAUAAUUAGAUCUAGAUCCAGUUUAGAUUUAGAAUAUAAAAGUAUUUUACUAGCUAAAAUACUAAAUCUACUGAUCUAAAUUCUAGAUAGAUAUACAAUAUAUAGAUCCAGUUUAGAUUUGGAAUAUAAAAAUAUUUACUAGCUAGAAUUCUAAAUCUACUGAUCUAUACUUAAUAUUUUAGAUAUAUUAUAUGACAUCUACAAAAAUUAUUAUAAAGAUAUAAUUAUAGAAUCUAGACUAGUUAUUUAUGUACAUAAAAUAUAUAAAUAAAAGAUAAAAUUUAUGCAGGCCUAGAUCCCAUAAAUUUAUAAUUGAUCCAGAUCUAUCAGUAAAAGUUACCUUCGAUGGGAAGUUUUACCCAAUCUAAUCUAUACAAGACAAUUUAUAAUCCAUGCCUCGCCUACACCCCAUACAUUAAAUAAUAGUUCCCAUUCCAUGCCAUGCCCAGACCCAUGAGUUCAUGAAAUAAUAAAUGAUGUGGUGUCAAGUUGGAUCUAUCCCCUGAAAUUCAGCACUUUAAUAUAAAACUCACAUAUCUAGUCAAUUAUUUGCUAUGACACUCUGAUCAACUUGGACUUGUGUGAUACAUAUAUGUUUCUUAUCAGAUUUAAUUAAUGAAGUUUUGGUGCAUUUUAAGGCUACAAAAGUAUCAUCAGGUGCAUUCUAACCAUUGGUAUUUUUCCUGGCAACAUUUCUAUUCUAGUCUGUGAUAAAUUAUAAAUUUAAAAAAAUGUUUGUAAUUAUGUUUCAAUUAUUAACAAGUAGAACCAUGCCAACCAGUUCUGAUGAUGUACCAGAAUGGCUCAAGGAUCAUACUUAUACUAUUUCUACUCUCUGGGCAGACAUUAAUAAUAUUGGCAUCCAUUCAAUAUUUAUUUUAUGUUUGGAAAUGCAAGAAAAGGGCAUGCAUUCCUGACAAGUCAAUGAUUGGUUGCACCUCUUAAAGAUAACUUUCUGUUAUGAGAAAAGAUGAGAUUCUUGGACUCCUGCAUAGCACCACCAGAAAGGAAAAUCCCAUCAUGUUGCAAAAUAAAAGUCUUGGACCAAUUUUAAUUUAAGAUAUAUAUAUUAUACUGUAAGCUCUAUACAUAUUUAUGUAUAUCCUGUCAUUCAGCCAACAGGUUUGGAUUUAGUAUUUCUUUAAAUCUGUUUGAUAUUGUACUUGAAAACUAUUAAUCUGAGCCCCAUUAAAACAAUAGGGAGUGCAGUGAAUGAGUGGUAAAGCACUUGGCUUCUGAACUGAGGGUUCCUGGGUUCGAUUAAGACUGGGAUUUUCAAUUUCAGAAUUCAAAAGGCUAGGGAUACAUGGCAAUAGUAAGGAAUAAGUAAAGGCAGUUUGGGGAUCCAUGGCUGAAUGGUUAAAUCAUGGGUUUGAAUCUCUGUGAAGACUCAGAUUUAAAUUUUUUAGAUUUUUGGGUGCCCCUGAGUCCACCUAACUCUAAUGGGUAGCUGACUUUCGUUUUGGUUGGUUGUUGUGCUGGCCACAUGAUGCACUGGCCAAAGAAUCAAAUGACCUUAACAUCAUCUGCCCUAUAGAUUGUGAGGUCUGAAAUGGGAUUUUUUUUCAAAAGGUGGUUGGUUGUUGUGCUGGGUACAUGACACCCUCGCUAACCAUGGGGCACAGAAACUGAUAAACUUUAUAUCAUCUGCCCCAUAGAUUGCAAGAUAUGUAAGGGAAAUUUUACUUUUUUAAAAUUAAAAUAAGAAUCUAACAAAAGUAAACAUAUAAAAUAUGGUGCAUUCUCCUUAAAACUAAAACCUGGUGCGAAGGUUUAAAAUGUUGGCAAAAAAAAAGCAACAUCAUAUAUUCUUAAUUCCCUUUGCAAAACUUACUGAGAAGAACAUGCAUGUUGUUCCCUUAUACAUUUCUUGACAGAGAAAAUCUUGUUUAUAUUAGAUUUGCAUUAAGCAAGUUAGGAAAAAAAUUAUAAUCAUUAUUUCAAAUGGUUGUAUCUAAAACCUUAUGAAUCAUUUUUCAGUUUUAAGUAUAUUGAGAUGAAUGGAUAAUCAUGAAAUUAUUAAAUAAUUGCUGCUAUCAUUCCAUUGACUAAAGAACCAUAAUUAUUUUUUUUUUAAAUUCAUUUCAAAAUGAUUUUUUUCAAGCAUAGAGUUCACAUAGAUCUUGAGUGAAAUUUUUUUUUUUAUUUGACUAAUGCUUCAAUUUUAUUGUAUUAUAUUAGUUUUUAAUUUUUAUUACCCAGAAUAUUUAAAAAAUGAGUACACUAUUUUCAUGUAAUAAUGUAACUUGUUAUUCACACA